UGGGAAUAUGGGUAGACCGGCAACGAGCGGAGCAAUAUUCGGUCGCACGAGUCGCGGCCAACCUGUCAUACAGUUGGAUAGCUACAGAUUCUUGAAGGACUACACGAACCUGUCAAGCCAUAAGACAAGAUGGCGCUGUGAGAGAAGGGCAAACAGAUGUCGCGCAUCCGUCAUGACUAUUGAUGACGUCAUCGUCAAAAUUUCCGGCUCCCAUAACCAUUAACUUUUACUUUAAGAGAGUUAGAGGAAAUUGUAUUUACGAUAAUUAAUGUAUAGUAGAUACCUAAAAUUUACAUAGAUUAGUUACAUCUGCUAAGUAUGAUUAACAAUUAUUAUACAGAUAUUAAUUAUUUUCGAAUUUGGAACAUUUUUGAAUAUUUUUA
rnacentral:misc_RNA from 1 species